rnacentral:rRNA from 1 species
GACGAACGCUGGCGGCGUGCUUAACACAUGCAAGUCGAGCGGGAUCCAACCGGUGGCAACACCGGGGAAGAUCUAGCGGCGAACGGGUGAGUAACACGUGAGCAACCUGCCCCGAAGACUGGGAUAACACCGGGAAACCGGUGCUAAUACCGGAUAUCCCCAUUAGGCCGCAUGACCUGAUGGGGAAAGGAUUUAUCGCUUCGGGAGGGGCUCGCGGGCUAUCAGCUUGUUGGUGGGGUAACGGCCACCAAGGCGACGACGGCUAGCUGGUCUGAGAGGACGACCAGCCACACUGGGACUGAGACACGGCCCAGACUCCUACGGGAGGCAGCAGUGGGGAAUCUUGCGCAAUGGGCGAAAGCCUGACGCAGCAACGCCGCGUGGGGAUGAAUGCCUUC